rnacentral:rRNA from 1 species
GACGAACGCUGGCGGCGUGCUUAACACAUGCAAGUCGAACGAAGUGGCGAACGGGUGAGUAACGCGUAAUCAACCUGCCCUUCAGAGGGGGACAACAGUUGGAAACGACUGCUAAUACCGCAUACUGAAGGAGGGGAUUGAGUCUGAUUAGCUAGUUGGAGGGGUAACGGCCUACCAAGGCGAGGAUCAGUAGCCGGUGCUGUAGGAGGAACGGCCACAUUGGGACUGAGACACGGCCCAGACUCCUACGGGAGGCAGCAGUGGGGAAGCUUCCGCAAUGGACGAAAGUCUGACGGAGCAACGCCGCGUGGUGGAUGACGGCCUUCGGGUUGUAAAGCUCUGUUAAUCGGGACGCGGUACCGGAAUAGAAAGCCACGGCUAACUACGUGCCAGCAGCCGCGGUAAUAC